GAUCUUUAUAAAACUCCUGCAAGUGUUAAGUGUGAUUGAACAACAGCAUAACACUUUCCUAACCGAUUCCCACAGGUCCUCUCGCCGUUGUCUGACUCCAUCCUGGCUGAGAAGACGGUGAUUGUCCUGGAUGACCGAGUCGCCAUCGUGGAGCUGGGAGUGCAGCUCGUAGCUGGCAUGUCUCUCUCCCUGCAGCCACACCGAGCAGACAAAAGGGCCAUCGUCUCCACAGCCGCUGCCCUGGAUGUUCUUCUGUCCCCACAGCAGUUCAAAGCAGAGGCCCCUCAGAGAUGAACACUAGGUACAGAACAAGACUCCUGUCAACCACACUUAGUUCAAGCUGAAGGAACCCGGCCUCUCUUUGCUAAUGUGUUAUUGAAAAUUGGCAUUGCUCAUCAUUAUGGAAACAAAAUUCCCAACACCAUAAUGUUAGUUCAAAGAAGGAAAACAGCAAUCAUUUCCAACACUGUUGAUUUGGAACCCAUUGUUUAAUUCCUCAUGAAUUAAAGCAAAAGACAAUCAGAAAGGCAAUUACCAGUAAGAACUAAAGGUAUCGGCUUCAUUUAUUAUAAAAUAUAAUAAAUUUAAACUUAAUUUAAAAAUCCAAAUGUGGGUUAAGCUUUUGUUUUUCAUUCCUUGAACAAUUUAAAGUUUUAAUAUAAAUAUCUUCUGCUGCAAACAAGACCCUAGAGUCACAGAAGUUUCAGGCUUAAAUCUGCGAGUGUUUCUUUGGCACGUUUAGCUGAGAAUAUGAGAUGGGAAAUGUAUGUGAUUUUAUUCAAUGGGUUCUGAUUAUGUAAUAAAGGGCAAAGGCCUGGGAAACUUUCACAUUUCACUUCCCUGUGUUGGGAUUAAUUUAAUAGUAUCCACUUUCCUGCCCAGAUAAUAAGCUAAAUUCCCAACUGCCCACUUGAAAAAAAUAUGUAUAUAUCUGAGUGCAUGUGUGUAUUACAUAUACAAUUUAGUCUCUGAAUAUACAGAACACUCAAAUCAAGCAGUUGGUUGUGUUAUGAUUUGUAACAUUUUUGGUAUUUAGCAUAAAAAUCAUCUUCUAAAAAAGAGUGUAUAGUCAUUGUAAAUAAUGUUUGAGAAUUGAAGUUCUUGAGGAUUUUGAUAAAAUAUAUUUUUAAAAGAAGGAAUAUGUGUAUUCCAUAUCAAUAUAAAAAAAUUGUAUGUAUUAUACAAUAUGUAUUGUAUUUAUAUAUUGUGUAAAUACAAUGUAUUUAUGUA
rnacentral:lncRNA from 1 species